AAGUUUGAGAAUUUGGAACUGGUAUGCAGGAUGAUCAUGAAUGAAUGGUACUCUUCUGCAAUGGCGGGAUUUGUUAUUUGUGGGGCAACUGAUUGGAUUCUGUAAAUCAAUUUUGGUGGAGGAGUUGUUCCGUAGCCUGAGGAAGAACAGAGCAAUGUUUUUGAAACAAGACAAAGGAGACACCAUUAACGAUGCAUAUGGGUGUCUUUAGUGGAACAAAUCUUACUUUUUGAGCUUUGUACAGUUUUAAACGUUAGUCUCCCCGGGAAUAGGACCAUAGCUUUUAAAGAACAAUCCAUGAGGAUGACAUACUAACAUCCUCCAUUUUUGGCAUGUAAUAUAUGAAAGUAAAUAGUACUCUUUAGCUAUGGUGUACUACCAUCCCAAUUUGUCAUGUAAUAUAUGAAUGUAAAUAGUACUCUCUAGUUAUGGCUAUGGCGUACUCUCUGGCACAUAUUUUCUCACGUAUAUAUGCCUUACUUUUUACACGUUUACAACAGUUUUGAAACCCGCAGCAUCGCGCGGGCUUCAAUGCUUGUAUAUACUAAAAGAGAAAAAGAACUGAAACACUGUUCAUAAGCACAGUGUGAUUCCGUUUUUGCCCCUACUUCUUUUUUGUUAUUUCAACUUUGCCGGUUUGCUAUGAUGUGGGAACAAAAUGGUGAUGCGUGUUCUUCCUUCUCAAUGUUUCGACUUGCUUCUUUCUCUCUUUGCUCUCACCGAUUCACUUCCGUCAACUCUUUCUCUCGCAGUACCCACAAGCUCUCUUUCGCAGAAAUGACGAACCCAGCUCGAGUUUUCUUUCAAAACUCAGGUCGAGUCCUCGACUUCUCUUUCAAAACUCAGCUCGAGUCCUCGGGUAAAACUCAUCAUCUUCCCUGAUUUUGAUGGGUUUUCGUACUGCAUCAAAUUUUGAUAAAAAUUGUGAAAUUUGGGAUGUGGGUAUUGAUGGGGUCGAUAGGGUUAUUUUCCUUUCCUCUUCUGUUCUCCUCUCUCUCCGUCUGUGUUUGCCUUUGUUUUGAUCUCUCUAUCUCUUUCGUUUCGAUUCCGAUCCGAUCGUUUGUGAAGGUGGUUUGACUGUGCUUCCCGUUGCUUUCCAGAAACGAAUCGCAAUGUUUUAGAAUUUGUGGUUUUGUCCGAUAAUCUUGAAAAAAAAUUGGUCUAAGCGGAGGAACCAAUUCAGGUAUUAUGUGGAGGUGACUGACGUGAUUCAUAAUAAUGCAAUUGCACAUAGAGAGCACGUUAGUAAGUUGUAAUGUUCUGGAAUUCAAUUAAUGGUGGUGUGUGCAGAUGGCUGUGACACACACAAUACUUCCCAGCCGCUUCUGAAAGAUAUAAGAAUGGUUCUCUCGGGUGCGUCAUGUUCGUGCCGUGUUCAUACUUGCACUGGCAGUUGAGAAUACUUACUUGCUAUGAUCUGGAGAAACACCUUGGAAGAAGACCUUGGUUUUGUUGGAGUUCACUUUGGAGUCAACCCAUCCAGCCCAAGUGGUCAACGCCUUCUCAUAUGCACGCAACCGAUCCAUGUCCUUGCGUCUUACGGUUGCUUUCUUCCGACGUGAAGCCACCAGUGCCAUGAGUCGAAGAUCAAUACAUCGUUUUGCAGCCACAGUUGCUCGUUUUCGGGUGAGAUUGAGUCGAGUUUGAGGACACGGCCAUCAGGUGUGCCUACAAUGUCGACAAUGAAGGCAUUUCGGGAGAAGGACACACUCAGAUUGUAUUCCUGAAAUUUUUUGAAUUGGCAUUCAUUAUCUGUGUAAAGCAUGCAAGUAAGUGACUGCCAUUGGUUCAAACUCAACGAGUCCCCGACAAACAUGAUGCUUUUCCCUGUGUAUGUCGACAAGAAACUACUUCCAUUGAAUCUGCAUCAUCAAAUUCGAACACACAGGUCAAUAUCAAAGUUUUAUAACGUAUUAAGUAGAUAGUAUGUUACAAAGAUAAGUAAAUUGUGUGAUUUGUGCAAAUGUUCCCUCGUAGUAAGUUUAUGUUGUUUUAUCACAAAAUUGUUAAUUUGAAUUGCACAUUCAAAUUCCGAUCGUGCCAUUUAUCCAUUUUGGAAA